rnacentral:rRNA from 1 species
ACUCCUACGGGAGGCAGCAGUGGGGAAUUUUGCACAAUGGGGGAAACCCUGAUGCAGCGACGCCGCGUGAUUUAGAAGGCCUUCGGGUUGUAAAAAUCUUUUGUAUAGGAAGAAAAUGACAGUACUAAUACGAAAUAAGGUCCUGGCUAAUUACGUGCCAGCAGCCGCGGUAAUACGUAAGGACCGAGCGUUGUCCGGAAUCAUUGGGCGUAAAGGGUACGUAGGCGGGUCAUUAAGUUAGAAGUCAAAGGCUAUAGCUCAACUAUAGUAAGCUUCUAAAACUGGAGACCUUGAGUAAUGGAAGGGAAAGUGGAAUUCCUAGUGUAGCGGUGGAAUGCGCAGAUAUUAGGAGGAAUACCGGUGGCGAAGGCGACUUUCUGGCCAUUAACUGACGCUGAGGUACGAAAGCGUGGGUAGCAAACAGGAUUAGAUACCCUGGUAGCUACGAG